ACGUGACCCCAUGCCGAACUCAGAAGUGAAACGCCGUAGCGCCGAUGGUAGUGUGGGGUCUCCCCAUGCGAGAGUAGGGAACUGCCAGGC
rnacentral:rRNA from 1 species